rnacentral:rRNA from 1 species
GACGAACGCUGGCGGCGUGCCUAAUACAUGCAAGUCGAGCGGACUGAAUGGGAGCUUGCUCUUGUUCGGUCAGCGGCGGACGGGUGAGUAACACGUGGGCAACCUGCCCGCAAGACCGGGAUAACUCCGGGAAACCGGAGCUAAUACCGGAUAACACCGAAGACCGCAUGGUCUUUGGUUGAAAGGCGGCGCAAGCUGCCACUUGCGGAUGGGCCCGCGGCGCAUUAGCUAGUUGGUGAGGUAACGGCUCGCCAAGGCGACGAUGCGUAGCCGGCCUGAGAGGGUGACCUGCCACACUGGGACUGAGACACGGCCCAGACUCCUACGGGAGGCAGCAGUAGGGAAUCGUCCGCAAUGGGCGAAAGCCUGACGGAGCGACGCCGCGUGAGCGAAGAAGGCCUUCGGGUCGUAAAGCUCUGUUGUGAGGGACGAAGGAGCGCCGUUUGAAGAAGGCGGCGCGGUGACGGUACCUCACGAGGAAGCCCCGGCUAACUACGUG